AGAGUUUGAUUCUGGCUCAGGACGAACGCUGGCGGUAUGCUUAACACAUGCAAGUCGAACGAGACGAGAUGGAAGGAUCCUUCGGGUGACGGAAAUCUUAGAAAGUGGCGAACGGGUGAGUAACGCGUGGGUAACCUGCCCUAUGGAAAGGAAUAACCUCGGGAAACUGGGAGUAAUGCCUUAUAAUACAUUGAAGUCGCAUGGCUUUGAUGUUAAACGCUCCGGUGCCAUAGGAUGGACCCGCGUCCCAUUAGCUAGUUGGUGAGAUAACAGCCCACCAAGGCGGCGAUGGGUAACCGGUCUGAGAGGGCGAACGGUCACACUGGAACUGAGACACGGUCCAGACUCCUACGGGAGGCAGCAGUGGGGAAUAUUGCGCAAUGGGGGCCAACCCUGACGCAGCAAUACCGCGUGAGUGAAGAAGGUUUUCGGAUCGUAAAGCUCUGUUAUUGGGGAAGAAAAAAGACGGUACCCAAGAAGAAAGUCCCGGCUAACUACGUGCCAGCAGCUGC
rnacentral:rRNA from 1 species